rnacentral:rRNA from 1 species
CCUACGGGUGGCAGCAGUGAGGCAUAUUGGUCAAUGGACGAGAGUCUGAACCAGCCAAGUAGCGUGAAGGAUGACUGCCCUAUGGGUUGUAAACUUCUUUUAUAAAGGAAUAAAACGAGGCACGUGUGCGUUUUUGCAUGUACUUUAUGAAUAAGGAUCGGCUAACUCCGUGCCAGCAGCCGCGGUAAUACGGAGGAUCCGAGCGUUAUCCGGAUUUAUUGGGUUUAAAGGGAGCGUAGAUGGGUUGUUAAGUCAGUUGUGAAAGUUUGCGGCUCAACCGUAAAAUUGCAAUUGAUACUGGCAGUCUUGAGUACAGUUGAGGUAGGCGGAAUUCGUGGUGUAGCGGUGAAAUGCUUAGAUAUCACGAAGAACCCCGAUUGCGAAGGCAGCUGACUAAACUGUGACUGACAUUGAUGCUCGAAAGUGUGGGUAUCAAACAGGAUUAGAUACCCGUGUAGUC